AUUGAACGCUGGCGGCAGGCCUAACACAUGCAAGUCGAGCGGAUGAAGGGAGCUUGCUCCUGGAUUCAGCGGCGGACGGGUGAGUAAUGCCUAGGAAUCUGCCUGGUAGUGGGGGAUAACGUCCGGAAACGGGCGCUAAUACCGCAUACGUCCUGAGGGAGAAAGUGGGGGAUCUUCGGACCUCACGCUAUCAGAUGAGCCUAGGUCGGAUUAGCAAGUUGGUGGGGUAAAGGCCUACCAAGGCGACGAUCCGUAACUGGUCUGAGAGGAUGAUCAGUCACACCGGAACUGAGACACGGUCCAGACUCCUACGGGAGGCAGCAGUGGGGAAUAUUGGACAAUGGGCGAAAGCCUGAUCCAGCCAUGCCGCGUGUGUGAAGAAGGUCUUCGGAUUGUAAAGCACUUUAAGUUGGGAGGAAGGGCAGUAAGUUAAUACCUUGCUGUUUUGACGUUACCAACAGAAUAAGCACCGGCUAACUUCGUG
rnacentral:rRNA from 1 species